rnacentral:rRNA from 1 species
GAUGAACGCUGGCGGCAUGCCUAAUACAUGCAAGUCGAGCGAAGCGGGGACGGGUGAGUAACACGUGGAUAACCUCCUAUAAGACUGGGAUAACUUCGGGAAACCGGAGCUAAACCGGAUAAGUAUAGAUGGAUCCGCGCUGCAUUAGCUAGUUGGUAAGGUAACGGCUUACCAAGGCCACGAGGCAUAGCCGACCUGAGAGGGUGAUCGGCAACACUGGAACUGAGACACGGUCCAGACUCCUACGGGAGUCAGCAGUAGGGAAUCAUCCGCAAUGGGCGAAAGCCUGACGGAGAGAAGCCACGUGAGUGAAGAAGGUCUUAGGAUCGUAAAACUCUGUAAUUAGGGAAGCGGUAACUAAUCAGAAAGCCACGGCUAACUACGUGCCAGCAGCCGCGGUAAUUC